UCUACAAUAUGCCUCUUCUGCAGCGGCAACAUUUUAGAUUCCUGUAUCAUUAUGCAACAAAACCUCAUAGCUUUAAUGGUCUUAACAAAAUCAACUGCUCAGGUAUAUUAAAUAUACCUUUAUCUCCUCUAAACAGAGUAUAUAGAGAAAUAGUUGCCUGGACAAAGCCUAAGAUUCCUGGCAACUUUGAACAUUCUGACUGCACAAACCCGGGAGGAAAUGACCAGAUUCUUACUGGAAGGAAAUAAUAAUAGGUAAAAAGGUGGUAAAAGUGAUCCGUGCUUUUUCCAGCAAGUAGAGAGAAACUCAUUCAGGAAGAAGUUGCCCUGAAGAACUUACCUAAAGGUAGGGGAAGUCAAAGGAUCCUUCAUAUAUUUUUGUCUCCAGAAAGUUUUGAGUUUCUGAUCUGGACAUCCAUAUGGAACAGAGUUCUGUCUGUGCUGUGGAAGAUGAGGUGAGGUGAAUUUGAAGGAGGGAAGCUGUGCAAGUGAAUAGGUGGACAGGCCUGCAUUUGUGCAGGCUCUCUGUGUAUUUGUGAAUACUAGUCAAGUCAAGUAACUAGGAGGCAAGCAGAGUUAUGGGUCAAUGAUGCAUAGAGUCUAGUGCUACAACUUUUAAUAGAUUAAUUGGUUUUAAAAACCCAGUAAAAUAGUAACCCCCGUUAGUUGUGAAAUAGACUUUUAUAUUAUUAUUGCCUAGUGUAUGCAUAAAAGAGGCUGCUGGAUCAGGCCAGUGGCCCAUUUAGUCCAGCAUCCUGUUCUCACAGUGCCAAUGAAAAGCCCAGUAUUUUAUCAUGGAAGCAUUCGAGCUGCCAAGAUGCUGCCUUGAAAAACUACCCUUGAUGAAAGUUGAAUCAUUCAGUCAAUUAAGAAUCAUAGCAUUCAUUGGCUUAGAUUUAUUUAAUUGGCUGGCAGCUCUAAGUAAGAAGCCCAUAAUCUGCUUUAGCAUAAUGCUUUAAUCCACUUCUGCCUGCCAGUCUCUCCUGUCUCUCUCAGGUGUCCUCCACAGCCUCUUGUAAAUUUUGGCUCCUGGUUGCCAGCCGGUGCCCAGUCACUGAGAGGCCACCAAAAGAUGGAUAUGGAUGUCUUCAUUUCCCAUCUAUGAUCCAGCUUGCAGCGCAGCUUCACAAGUGCUUUCCGAUCCAGCUGAAGAACCUCUCUGCAACGUUCCCUACUGAAAUGUUGAAAUGACAAGGGAAUCAAAGCAAGGACAUUUGCAAAUGUUAGAAGGGAAUUGUAACUGCUACUUCCAGACUAUCUGAAAGGAACUUCAGCUAGUGGGGGGGGGCGCCACACCCCCAAAGACAUAUUCUUGGCUUCCACAAGAUCCUUUUCAAUGCCAGAUCCUUUUCAACUCAAGAGUGGGCUGUGACAGCAUUAGGAAUUAUGGUGGUUGGAGAGGGCCAAAGGAAAUGAGACACGGCUGAAAACUAUGUCUCAUCUAGCAAAGCAUAGUGACAGAAUUGAGAGUGUGUGGGCAGGAACGAGUGAUGUCUUACACAGAACUGUACAGCGCCUAGAGCAUUGACUUUGUGAAUAAUAAAAUGAUGAAGAAGAUGACUGGAGCGAGUAGGGAGCUGGCAUUCCAACAACAUGUAAUAUAAAAAUAUAUAGUAAAAUGCUAAUAGUAUCUUACCUAGUUUGGGUUUGGGGUUUGUUUGUUUUUGCUCCACUUGCAGCAUGACUAUAUAAGAUUGCUAUAUAAACCUCAGAUAGCUGAUAAUAAAAAUAAUCCAUAAUAAAUAAAACCACUCCACAGUGAUACUGCUUCAUUUCUUUAAUCUCUUGUAACAUUUGUAUCAAUGGUGAAUUUUGUGCAGGGCUGGCAGUGCAAUCUGUGUAUGGCAGAUCAUGGGACAAAGUUCAAUUGAUUCUUUGGGGUUCUUGUUUUUCUUUUGGAAACAAGACAUUCCAUGGUGAUUAGAAAGACAGCUGUUCACAGUGAUUGUACAUUUUGUUGCACAAAGCUAAAAAGAAAGCCUACACAUUGCCAAUAAAACCAAAGAAAACCACCUUUGUGCAGAGGAUCUCCUGAGAAAGGAAGAGAAGUCUUUUUCCAGGGUUUACUCCCAUUGUUGUUUUUGUACAGCCACAUCUUACAAUUCCUGCUAAACCAAAAGGCAGUGUAUACUAAGUCAGUCCAUUGCACGAAUGAUAACGGUAACAGGUGACAUUAAAAAGACAAUGUAUAUCAGCAUACACAUAGUGUAAACUU